GCAUACGCCAGCUCAUGGGAACUUAAGUUCGGAAGCGGCAGAAUAGUACUGUAGUGGGUGACCAUACGGGAAGUCCUGCUGUUGUAUGUU
rnacentral:rRNA from 1 species